CCUACGGGAGGCAGCAGUGGGGAAUAUUGGACAAUGGGGGAAACCCUGGUCCAGCAAUGCCGCGUGAGUGAAGAAGGCCCUUGGGUUGUAAAGCUCUUUCACCUGUGACGAUAAUGACGGUAACAGGACAAGAAGCCCCGGCUAACUCCGUGCCAGCAGCCGCGGUAAGACGGAAGGGGCUAGCGUUAUUCGGAAUUACUGGGCGUAAAGGGUGUGUAGGCCGUUUUUUAAGCAAGAUGUGAAAGCCUCAAGCUCAACUUGAGAACUGCAUCUUGAACUGAAAAACUAGAGUGCGAAAGGGGAAAGAGGAAUUCCUAGUGUAGGGGUGAAAUCCAAAGAUAUUAGGAAGAACACCAAAGGCGAUGGCAACUUUCUGGUUCGCAACUGACGCUGAGACACGAAAGCGUGGGGAGCAAAUAGGAUUAGAUACCCUAGUAGUCCACGCUGUAAACGAUGAAUGCUAGACGUUGGGGGCUUGCCUCUCAGUGUCGCAGCUAACGCAUGAAGCAUUCCGCCUGGGGAGUACGGUCGCAAGAUUAAAACUCAAAGGAAUGACGG
rnacentral:rRNA from 1 species